UUUAGGCUUUUGGAGCUGCUACCUACCAAAGACUCAUCUUGGAGAGAAGCCAUCUCUAAACCAAUAAAGCAAGUCAAUAAGGAAAUUUAAUUUUUACAGUGAUUCAUUUUAGCCAUGACUUCUUAAAGAGACAACAUCUCUUCUAAACAGCGAGAGGUGCCUGAGGCCUGAUGAAGCCAUGUGAUGCUGCUGCCCACAGCACACAGUGUCCUAGCUGAGGGCCUGGAGCUCGCCGAGGGGCUGGGCACAGAGGACACCAGGGCCCACCAUGCAGGCAGACCGCCUCCUGCUCAGCGCUCCCUCUCCCGCAGGCUGGUGGGAUCUGUCCAUCUCUGGGAAGACCCUCACACCCAUGCCAGCCAUCACCUGCAGUAACUACUGGCCUCCUCUAUUCCCUCCCUGCACAGUGCAAACCCCUGGAUCAGAUUUCCAAGGACAUCUAAAAGCAGGCUUGAGAGAGCCACUGGAAAAGAGGAGCCCAUAACUAACUUGGCCAGGGAGGGCUCCCCA
rnacentral:lncRNA from 1 species